GAUGAACGCUGGCGGCGUGCUUAACACAUGCAAGUCGAACGGUGAAGGCGGAGCUUGCUCUGCUGGAUCAGUGGCGAACGGGUGAGUAACACGUGAGCAAUCUGCCCCUGACUCUGGGAUAAGCGCUGGAAACGGCGUCUAAUACUGGAUACGAGCUGCGAAGGCAUCUUCAGCAGCUGGAAAGAACUUCGGUCAGGGAUGAGCUCGCGGCCUAUCAGCUUGUUGGUGAGGUAACGGCUCACCAAGGCGUCGACGGGUAGCCGGCCUGAGAGGGUGACCGGCCACACUGGGACUGAGACACGGCCCAGACUCCUACGGGAGGCAGCAGUGGGGAAUAUUGCACAAUGGGCGAAAGCCUGAUGCAGCAACGCCGCGUGAGAGACGACGGCCUUCGGGUUGUAAACCUCUUUUAGCAGGGAAGAAGCGAAAGUGACGGUACCUGCAGAAAAAGCGCCGGCUAACUACGUG
rnacentral:rRNA from 1 species